rnacentral:rRNA from 1 species
UACGUAGGGGGCAAGCGUUGUCCGGAAUCAUUGGGCGUAAAGAGCGUGUAGGCGGUCCGGUCAGUCGGUUGUGAAAGUCAAGGGCUCAACCCUUGAAUGCCGGCCGAUACUGCCGGGCUAGAGUCCGGAAGAGGUGAGUGGAAUUCCUGGUGUAGCGGUGAAAUGCGCAGAUAUCAGGAGGAACACCGAUUGCGAAGGCAGCUCGCUGGGACGUUACUGACGCUGAGACGCGAAAGCGUGGGGAGCAAACAGG